CCUACGGGUGGCAGCAGUGAGGAAUAUUGCACAAUGGGCGAAACCCUGAUGCAGUGACGCCGCGUGAGCGAUGACGUAUUUCGGUAUGUAAAGCUCUAUCUGCAGGGAAGAAAAUGACGGUACCUGAGUAAGAAGCUCCGGCUAAAUACGUGACAGCAGCCGCGGUAAUACGUAUGGAGCAAGCGUUAUCCGGAUUUACUGGGCGUAAAGGGGGCGUAGGCGGGCUGCCAAGUAUGAUGUGAAAUACCGGGGCUCAACCCCGGGGCUGCAUUGGAAACUGGCAGGCUGGAGUGACGGAGAGGUAGGCGGAAUUCGUGGUGUAGCGGUGAAAUGCGUAGAUAUCAGGAGGAACACCAGUGGCGAAGGCAGCCUGCUGGAGCGUUACUGACGCUGAGGCUCGAAAGCGUGGGGAGCAAACAGGAUUAGAUACCCUUGUAGUC
rnacentral:rRNA from 1 species